rnacentral:tRNA from 1 species
UCCCCUGUAGCUCAAUUGGUAGAGCGGACGGCUGUUAACCGUCAGGUUCUUGGUUCGAGUCCAAGUGGGGGAG